GAUGAACGCUGGCGGCGUGCCUAAUACAUGCAAGUCGAGCGAACAGACGAGGAGCUUGCUCCUCUGACGUUAGCGGCGGACGGGUGAGUAACACGUGGAUAACCUACCUAUAAGACUGGGAUAACUUCGGGAAACCGGAGCUAAUACCGGAUAAUAUAUUGAACCGCAUGGUUCAAUAGUGAAAGACGGUUUUGCUGUCACUUAUAGAUGGAUCCGCGCCGCAUUAGCUAGUUGGUAAGGUAACGGCUUACCAAGGCAACGAUGCGUAGCCGACCUGAGAGGGUGAUCGGCCACACGGGAACUGAGACACGGUCCAGACACCUACGGGAGGAAGCAGUAGGGAAUCUUACGCAAUGGGCGAAAGCCUGACGGAGCAACGCCGCGUGAGUGAUGAAGGUCUUCGGAUCGUAAAACUCUGUUAUUAGGGAAGAACAAAUGUGUAAGUAACUAUGCACGUCUUGACGGUACCUAAUCAGAAAGCCACGGCUAACUACGUG
rnacentral:rRNA from 1 species